CACAAGAACAUAAGAAGGGCGUUGGAAUAGAAAAGAAGUAAUCUCUUUGUUUUCAUGGCACUCACCAAGAGCACUACAACACGAUCGACGAUUGUGUGCUCAAUGGUUGUUGCUUUCGUGGUGCUUGCUAUUAUAUGUUCUACCAUGCCAUCCUGCCAUGCCCACACUGGGUUGAAGGUCAAGGUCGGCGACCUGUAUGUCCACAAGCUGUCCCAUGGCUGUUCGCUGUGGGAUGUUGAUCGAGAGGUGAGGCCUCUUUGCCUGUUGAUCAGGUGCAGGGCCUCCCGGUUAUUCCUACUUUCUUGCAGUCAAAGGAUGGGGUUCAAUGAAACCAGAGCAAACUAAGGUGUAUAGUUAUUUCCCGUAAAAAAAAGGUGUAUGGUUAUUUUAAUUCCCUGUUCUUUCUUUUAGAAAAACACUUUUACUUCGGUACAACCCCCUGAACACAUUAACGGAGGACAUCUUUCCAUACCCCUUUAUAAUAAAGGGUAGAAUGGUCUUUACGCAUC